rnacentral:rRNA from 1 species
UACGGGGGGUGCGAGCGUUAAUCGGAAUUACUGGGCGUAAAGCGCACGCAGGCGGUUUGUUAAGCUAGAUGUGAAAGCCCCGGGCUCAACCUGGGAUGGUCAUUUAGAACUGGCAGACUAGAGUCUUGGAGAGGGGAGUGGAAUUCCAGGUGUAGCGGUGAAAUGCGUAGAUAUCUGGAGGAACAUCAGUGGCGAAGGCGACUCCCUGGCCAAAGACUGACGCUCAUGUGCGAAAGUGUGGGUAGCGAACAGG